UACGUAGGGCGCAAGCGUUGUCCGGAAUCAUUGGGCGUAAAGAGCUCGUAGGCGGCCUGUUGCGUCCGCUGUGAAAUCCCGGGGCUUAACCCCGGGCGUGCAGUGGAUACGGGCUGGCUGGAGGCAGGCAGGGGAGAACGGAAUUCCCGGUGUAGCGGUGAAAUGCGCAGAUAUCGGGAGGAACACCGGUGGCGAAGGCGGUUCUCUGGGCCUGUACUGACACUCAAGCACGAAAGCGUGGGGAGCAAACAGG
rnacentral:rRNA from 1 species